AUUGAACGCUGGCGGUAUGCUUAACACAUGCAAGUCGAACGGUAACAGGCCUUCGGGCGCUGACGAGUGGCGGACGGGUGAGUAACGCGUAGGAAUCUGCCUCAUAGUGGGGGACAACGUGGGGAAACUCACGCUAAUACCGCAUACGCCCUACGGGGAAAGCGGGGAUCUUCGGACCUCGCGCUAUGAGAUGAGCCUGCGUUAGAUUAGCUAGUUGGUAGGGUAAAGGCCUACCAAGGCGACGAUCUAUAGCUGGUCUGAGAGGACGAUCAGCCACACUGGGACUGAGACACGGCCCAGACUCCUACGGGAGGCAGCAGUGGGGAAUAUUGGACAAUGGGCGCAAGCCUGAUCCAGCAAUACCGCGUGUGUGAAGAAGGCCUUAGGGUUGUAAAGCACUUUCAAUUGGGAGGAAAAACCCUGCCCGGUCAAUACCGGCAGCUUGACAUUACCUUUAGAAGAAGCACCGGCUAACUCCGUGCCAGCAGG
rnacentral:rRNA from 1 species